GGUACUCAGUUCGGAUUGAAGGCUGAAAUUCGCCUUCAUGAAGCUGGAAUUGCUAGUAAUGGCAGGUCAGCAUACUGCCGUGAAUACGUUCCCGGGCCUUGUACACGCCGCCCGUCACACCAUGAGAGUUGGGAAUACCCGAAGCCUGUGAGCUAACUGUAAGGAGGCAGCAGUCGAAGGUAGAAUCAAUGAUUGGGGUGAAGUCGUAACAAGGUACC
rnacentral:rRNA from 1 species